rnacentral:lncRNA from 1 species
AUGGGGCAAGUGGCCCUAGAUAGCAAAUUGUUGCAGGGACCCGGACUUUUUACUAAGGAAACAAUGAAUAAUGUGUCAACCUUCCAGCCGGUUCACACUCAUAGGAAAGAAAUGUCAGGGAAAACUUUAGUGGAACAGAAAGGAGGACAUUUCAUGGAUGUUGCCAAAGAACUAUCUCUCCUGAAACCAGAGGUAGAAAAAGAUGUUUUUCCGAUGAAGGUAAAGAAAACCUCUGAAGUGUCUCAGAAGCAAGGGGUUACUCCAAAAAGUAAAUCCAAGGAAGAUAUGAGAAGCUGGCUCAAGCAUAACAGGCGCCUGUUAUGUUGUGAAACCAAACACCUUAAAUUCAUAGGAGAAAUGAUAAAAUCACCAGAAAUUUUAUCCAGGGACGUUGGAUCAGAACUAUGGAAAACUCUCUUGUCUUUGAGGUCAAGAACGUGUCUAGAUGAAAACUUUGUGGCUCGAGAGAUUAUUGAUCAGCGUAUGACUCACAAUGGCCUGAAGAUCAGUUUAAAAGAUGUAGACGGAAGGCAUACUGCUCACAUCAUAGGUGUUCCGCAAAAUGUGUCAUAUUUUGGUUUAACUGAAGUGAAGGAAACCCUGCAUUUAAUCUCGCGCUCCUUCCACGUGAAUGAAUGUAGGCCAAUGAAAAUCAAAUGUCUUUUGAAGGGGGAGGUUACAAGGAUAUGUGAAGCCACGCAGACUGAAGAAAUAACUGAAGAGCAAAUUUUCAACUGGCUUGUGCACUGGAUUAAUUAUAUUCGCCCAACCGAUGAUAAGUGUCUUCAUCAAAUACCAAUCCUUUACCCACUCCACGAUUUAGAUGCUGUUUAUUAAAUCAUGUUAAAAGAUCUAGUCAGAAAAUAAGAAUAGAAAUGUAAAAAUGAAGUAAUUUAAAGCCUAGAAAUACAAGAACAUUUCUUAAAAAUCGUCAGAUGUUUUUUUUCCCUGAGUUAGUGCAGUGUUAGAGCAGUGCAGUUAGUCCCCUGAGUUUUGAUCCAUUAGAUGCAAUGAAUCUGCCAAAGGUGAUCAGAGAUUUGAGUGAAAGAAUUGCCCAUUGCCCAUGUUGAAGAGUCUUAUUAUGCAGGAAUUCAAUAGUAAUACUUGCUGUAAAUUAGCGGUUACCAUCAGUUGGGGAACCCUGGGGCAGUUUAGGCUCUCUACCAAAAUUUCUUUCUUAAAACAAAAGGUACAACAUUGUUUUCCCCUUCAUUUGUUAGUCUUAGCAUGUACUCUUAACCCAUGAAUCAAUUUUAUUUCAUGCAUAAUUUUUUCUUUCCAAAAAAAGUUCGUGUUCCAAGUUGCGCGAAUAGUUAGGGUAACCAGGACGCCGAUGUAAUAUUGCUGCUUGGCCAACAUUCGAAAGUAAUCAGGAAACUUAGGAUAAAUAAAAAAUAAAGAGGAAUUACAAGAAAGAAUGUGAAAGUAGUGAGUUAACAUACUUAAAAUAAAUGCCAAAUUGUAGAUACCUACUAAGGCCAUGUAACUAGUUAGUAGGUGCGCCUACCUAUAUACCUAUCGCACUGGAAUAUUUAAGUUUUAAGAGGAUACACGUCCCCGCGCUCUGGUACACACUCCCGGCGCCCAGAGUACAAUCCCUCAGGAUUGAAUUGGACACCACGAGGUGUCAUCCGGGUUUGAAGGGGCUACAUGCUCUUCCGUGAUUUAAGGCUGAUUCCAAAUCAAUGAAAAUUAUUGGAAGACCGAAAUUCCGGAAUCAGCAGACCCUGUACUCCGCUUUCUUUUUGGGGCCUAACUUUCGAGAUGGAAAAUUUCAUGAAAUUUAUUCGCGCAAAAUUUCAUUUAAUUUCUUCAAACUUUUGGUGAUGCAUUCAGAAAGCCAAGAGAUGCCUAGAAACAGUGAUUCUCGAUUUUGACAUUUUUCACCCCAAGCCUAAAACAUUCAUGCAUUACAAAUGUUUGCGUUAUAGGUUGGGCUUGGUUUUAAUACAGUUUAAUAUUGUUUAAACUUGAAAUAAUAGAAAUUUUAUGCUCUAAACGUUUAUUACCAUCGUAAAAUCGUAUUUUCAAUUCCUACCGUCAAAAAGCCGAAAAUCGUUGAAAUUCUGAAAAUUUUAGAGAAAUCAAUUUUCAGCAUCAUUCCCUUAAACACGUUUUUCAGUUACGUACUAUAAAUUUAAUGGAAAACAAGUGUUGUACUCGUCUUCAAAAUUUCAUCACUUUUCUUAAAAAUGUAUAUAAAUUGUCCUUUGUCGGAAACUAUUUGUUCGAAAGUGCUGGAAACGAAAAAAAAACAGCUUUUGUUGUUAAAUAUUGACUUCAUGCUUUUGAAUGAUUCGUCUCACAACACAAUGAGGUCAUAAAAGAUAAAAAGUGAAAUGGAUGGAUAUUCUUGUGGAAAAUUUUGCGUACUUUUCAGUGGUGGCGUUUUUUUUCAACAUAAGAUUAAUAAAUUUAACCUAAAAUUGGUCAAAUCGCUGAUUUUCAGGCGAUUUUGCCAGUUGUUGUUUUCAAAUACUACGUAAAAUUCGGAAGGAAAAAAAUAACAAAAGUCUAAAGUUUGAAUAUGAUUCUUAACCAAACUUUUAUGAUCUCUAAAAUUGAUCUCUAAUAAUUUUUUUCUUGGCUGCAUAGGUACUUUGGAGUUAUAAAGGAAAAACUGUGCGUAGGUCCUUUUUGAAAAACUGCGAUUUGACCAUUUUCCGGAUGGAAUUUUUCGGUAAAUUUUUUUUGAUCUUACUGGGUACCUAGAGACUCUACAUACCAAAGGUUAUCUCACUCGACAUCAACAGACUAAGGUCAGGUCAUUCGACCCCACCAGACUUAGAUUAGGUUAAGUUACUUGACACCACCAGACUGAGAAGAGGUCACUUGACAACAUGGCACUACGCUAUUGCCAAGACGCACCAAU